rnacentral:rRNA from 1 species
UACAGAGGGGGCAAGCGUUGUUCGGAAUUACUGGGCGUAAAGGGCGCGUAGGCGGCCUUCUAAGUCGAACGUGAAAUCCCCGGGCUCAACCCGGGAACUGCGUCCGAUACUGGAAGGCUUGAAUCCGGGAGAGGGAUGUGGAAUUCCAGGUGUAGCGGUGAAAUGCGUAGAUAUCGGGAGGAACACCGGUGGCGAAGGCGGCGAUCUGGGUAGAUACUGACGCUGAGGUGCGAAAGCGUGGGGAGCAAACAGG